UACGAAGGGGGCAAACGUUGUUCGGAAUUAUUGGGCGUAAAGAGCUCGUAGGCGGCCUGUUGCGUCCGCUGUGAAAUCCCGGGGCUCAACCCUGGGCGUGCAGUGGAUACGGGCAGGCUGGAGGCAGGCAGGGGGAGAACGGAAUUCCCGGUGUAGCGGUGAAAUGCGCAGAUAUCGGGAGGAACACCGGUGGCGAAGGCGGUUCUCUGGGCCUGUGCUGACGCUGAGGAGCGAAAGCGUGGGGAGCGAACAGG
rnacentral:rRNA from 1 species